GAUGAACGCUGGCGGCGUGCUUAACACAUGCAAGUCGAACGAUGAAGCCCAGCUUGCCGGGUGGAUUAGUGGCGAACGGGUGAGUAACACGUGAGUAACCUGCCCUUAACUCUGGGAUAAGCCUGGGAAACUGGGUCUAAUACCGGAUAGGAGCGUCCACCGCAUGGUGGGUGUUGGAAAGAUUUAUCGGUUUUGGAUGGACUCGCGGCCUAUCAGCUUGUUGGUGAGGUAAUGGCUCACCAAGGCGACGACGGGUAGCCGGCCUGAGAGGGUGACCAGCCACACUGGGACUGAGACACGGCCCAGACUCCUACGGGAGGCAGCAGUGGGGAAUAUUGCACAAUGGGCGCAAGCCUGAUGCAGCGACGCCGCGUGAGUGAUGACGGCCUUCGGGUUGUAUACCUCUUUCAGUAGGGAAGAAGCGAAAGUGACGGUACCUGCAGAAGAAGCACCGGCUAACUACGUG
rnacentral:rRNA from 1 species